UGAAUAUGAAGCCUCGACGAAGAGAAGGCAAAAUGAGUUUGUGUCCCUGAGUUGCUAAGUGGAGAAGAAACGUCCACCAACCAGGAAACACCUGCCUCCAACUGUUAACAGGUCUGUGAAAUGUGCUUUCUUUCUGGUCAGCAUGGUCACCCGCUUUAAUAGUGGCUUCAGAUGAGGCACUUUGUGACAGAGGAGCUCUGCCCCUGCAGCAACCUUGAAGAUGUUGUGGAAGUCAAUAGUCAUUCUUACUUCACUCUGAGGACCACAAUAGCGUGCAAGGGUGUGUCAAGCUCAUUGCUAUCUUUGGCCAUUCUCUCUCACAUUAGUACACUUGGAUGUGAAUGGCAUGUUAUCUAUGUAAGCAGUGAUGGUCACUAUCUGGUGGUAGAAAUGACGGAAUUACACACAAUCAGGACAGCUGAGAUUCCAUUUACUAGCUCAGUAAUCAGAGAAUAUGUAUGACAUCUCAGCAAAAAAAUGUUGAACAUGUUCAGAUUUCAUCGUAUCAGCAUCACGGUAUGUCUUACUGGGAAGACGCUUGCAUUCAGUUCCUGGCUACUGAAGAAAUUUUGCAGGAGUUCCAGAUAACUUACUGGGUCCAUAAUAAUGAAAACUAUUACAAUUAUGCUAAAGAAGAAUACUUAAUAACACAGAAAAUGUUCAUGAUGUCUUUUAAUUUAGAAAGCAGGUUAUAAAAGUAUUACAGUAUGAUCGCAUAUUUAUAAGUAAAAUAUAUAUUAAUUCAUUUAGCAAAUAAAUAUUAAGCCCCUCCUA